rnacentral:rRNA from 1 species
GAUGAACGCUGGCGGCGUGCCUAAUGCAUGCAAGUCGAACGAAACUUCUUUAUCACCGAGUGCUUGCACUCACCGAUAAAGAGUUGAGUGGCGAACGGGUGAGUAACACGUGGGCAACCUGCCCAAAAGAGGGGGAUAACACUUGGAAACAGGUGCUAACACCGCAUAACCAUAGUUACCGCAUGGUAACUAUGUAAAAGGUGGCUAUACUACCGCUUUUGGAUGGGCCCGCGGCGCAUUAGCUAGUUGGUAGGGUAAAGGCUUACCAAGGCAAUGAUGCGUAGCCGAAUUGAGAGGUUGAUCGGCCACAUUGGGACUGAGACACGGCCCAAACUCCUACGGGAGGCAGCAGUAGGGAAUCUUCCACAAUGGGCGAAAGCCUGAUGGAGCAACGCCGCGUGGGUGAAGAAGGUCUUCGGAUCGUAAAACCCUGUUGUUAGAGAAGAAAGUGCGUGAGAGUAACUGUUCACGUUUCGACGGUAUCUAACCAGAAAGCCACUGCUAACUACGUG